rnacentral:rRNA from 1 species
UACGGGGGGGGCAAGCGUUGUUCGGAAUUACUGGGCGUAAAGGGCUCGUAGGCGGCCAACUAAGUCGGACGUGAAAUCCCCAGGCUCAACCUGGGAACUGCGUCCGAUACUGGAUGGCUUGAAUCCGGGAGAGGGAUGCAGAAUUCCAGGUGUAGCGGUGAAAUGCGCAGAUAUCAGGAGGAACACCGGUGGCGAAGGCGGGUCUCUGGGCAACUACUGACGCUGAGGAGCGAAAGCGUGGGGAGCGAACAGG